CCCUACUGGUGAUAAACAGGUGGGGCAAAAGUAGGCUUACAGCUGUUCCUAUGGGAAAUAAUACAAUAAUUAAUAAAUAAUGCAAGAAUAAACUGUUUUGCAUAUUUACAACUAUAAACCUACUUUUGCCCCACCCUAUAUG